rnacentral:rRNA from 1 species
GAUGAACGCUAGCGGCAGGCUUAACACAUGCAAGUCGAGGGGUAUAGUUCUUCGGAAUUAGAGACCGGCGCACGGGUGCGUAACGCGUAUGCAAUCUACCUUUCACAGAGGGAUAGCCCCAGAGAAAUUUGGAUUAAUACCUCAUAGUAUAGCAGUUUCGCAUGAAACCACUAUUAAAGUUCCAACGGUAAAAGAUGAGCAUGCGUCCCAUUAGCUAGUUGGUAAGGUAACGGCUUACCAAGGCUACGAUGGGUAGGGGUCCUGAGAGGGAGAUCCCCCACGCUGGUACUGAGACACGGACCAGACUCCUACGGGAGGCAGCAGUGAGGAAUAUUGGACAAUGGGCGCAAGCCUGAUCCAGCCAUGCCGCGUGCAGGAUGACGGUCCUAUGGAUUGUAAACUGCUUUUAUACAGGAAGAAACACUCCGACGUGUCGGAGCUUGACGGUACUGUAAGAAUAAGGAUACCGGGCUUAAACUCCGUGCCAGCAGCCGC